CAUUCUGCUGUUUAGUUCAAGCGCAGUAUCUGUUCUUAUCAGUUUAAUAUCUGAUAUGUUUUCUAUUUGAAAAUUACACUCAUAGAAUGUGUUCAUGCCAAACUUCCAUUGAAUUCAUUGGAAGUUCAGCAUGAGUGAAGACAGCAUUAUCUGGCCCUUGCUUCACACCU
rnacentral:snRNA from 1 species